AGAAAUUUGUUCGUGAUGAUUUCAUAGUUCAACUGAAAUGAAAUUGAUGACAUAGCAUAUUAUGUCUUUCGCUCCUAUCUGAUUUCUU